AAGUUGCACCAUCAAAUUCCCAUCAUUGGAAGAAGUAGUUGUGACACAGUACCCCAAAAUGAAGGCUUUCACUCAAGGAGCCGUAAGCACACCAAAGCUAAAGAGAGAAUUUUUUACAGAAGGAAGAGAUAAAUGGCAUUGGAUUGGAGACCUUAAUACCUCCAUAAAACAUUUGUAUAUAGAAAAGGUAGGUUUUAAUAUAAUCUCUCUAUUUCCUAAUUGUUAAUAGCUCAUUUUCUUCCAGUGAAUAUUUAGGUUCUUGUAUAUUUUUUGCUUAAUACAUUGUUGGGCUUCUUGCGGAUUGGAUUCAGUGGCCUACAGUAUUUGAGACUCUCUGAAUUUCCCCAAUUAAAAGAAGUUUGGCAUGAACAACUUCAGGCCAACUUCUUCUACAAUUUAAGUAGGUUGGUGGUAGACGAGUGUUCAUUUUCCUCUAGUUCUGUUCCAUCCAAUCUAGUACCAUUUUUGAAUAAUUUGGAAGAGCUUGAAGUGAGAAAUUGUGAUUCGGUGAAAGAAGUAUUUAGUAAGGGAUGGUCAAAUGGUAAUGGAAUCAUUGGACAUUUGUGCAAGUUAAGUAAGUUGGACUUGAUUGAUCUGCCAAUGUUGACCCGUGUCUGGAUUGAGGUUCCUAAAGGUAUUUUGAACCUCAAAAACCUCAAACUGCUGAAAAUCCACAAUUGUGGCAGUUUAAUAAAUAUAUUUACUCCUAGCAUCUGCUUAGACCUCGUGCAAAUCCAAAAUUUAGAAGUGAAGUUGUGCUAUGGUUGAAGAAAUCAUCACAGAAGAUGUGGUGAAGGAUGAAACUAUGGAUGAGAUCAAAUAUCCUCUAUUGAACUCCAUUACUUGUGUCUUGCCAAGUUUAAUCAAUUUCAAUUCCGGAAAUGGUACUGUGCAUCUUUCAUCUUUGAAAGAGAUUAUUGUAAUUGACUGCCCAAGCACAUUUACUUGUUCAUUUUUGAGGGUAGCAGAACCAAAUGCAACAGAUGAAAUUGUUGAACCAAAGGUUGUUUUCCCCAACUUGGAGGAUCUGAAACUGUCAUCAGUUGACAUUGAGAAGAUGUGGGAUGCUCAGCAGUUGGAAAUGUCUUCUUGUAUUCAGAAUUUGACAAGCUUGACUGUGGAUGGCUGUGGCAAUUUAAAAUAUCUAUUAUCGUCAUCAAUGGUUAAAAAUGUUAUGCAUCUAAUUCUAAAAAGACUUGACAUUUGCAAUUGUAAGAUGAUGGAAGAA
rnacentral:misc_RNA from 1 species